CAGAUCGGGCCGACUCGGCGAUCCUGACUGGGAGCACGCGGAUUAUGUGUAUACAGCGAGCGGAGCCAGGCCUGAGGGGGGUGGAAGAGAACCGCCGCCUGUCUGUCGGGAAGUACACUGUGAGGAGAGGACGGGCCGGGCCGGUAUAGAGAUCUGUGCUGCUUCAACCUCUCCUGCUGCCUGUUAUAUGUUCCUGUACCAGACAUCAGAUCUUCAGUCAUCAAGGGUGGAAAAUCUGACAUGAGGAACAAAAGACCUGCCUCUACCAAGAUGGCCGCCUCCACGCAGAGACACGGUGUAGAGCAAGUGAGGUCACCAACCUGGCUAUGCUGUCCAGCAGGGGCGUUGGAUCAAAGGACUGGCUAAAAAGAAUGACAGAUAAGAUGCAACCUCUUUACAAACCACAGCCUGACAGGUUUCAGUUGUCUACAUGUCUAUCCAACAAAUCCUUCCCUGGGUGCCACCAAUGUUUUAACUCAGGGCUCAGAAUCAAGGCCUGCCAUGGUUUCCAUAACCCACCUCCACCACCUGUGAUGUCAGACGUUGUCAUCUAUUGUGAACUUGCGUAGAUUCUGAUUGGAUGAAGCGU